UACAGAGACUGCAAGCGUUAUUCGGAUUCACUGGGCGUAAAGGGUGCGCAGGCGGCCAAGUGUGUGAGGCGUGAAAGCCUGGGGCUUAACUCCAGAAUUGCACCUCAAACUACAUGGCUAGAGCAUUGGAGAGGGUAGCAGAAUUCACGGUGUAGCAGUGAAAUGCGUAGAUAUCGUGAGGAAUACCAGAGGCGAAAGCGAGUCUCUGGGCAGCAUCUGACACUGAGGCACGAAGGCCAGGGGAGCAAACGGG
rnacentral:rRNA from 1 species